ensembl:lncRNA
AACCUGAUUCUGCUAAACUGUCACUUCAAGUUCUGCAUGUUGAAAGACUGCACGUUGUAAUCAUGUUAUAAGAUACUAAGUGCAAAACAGGAGGCAUAUGAAAAGAAAGUAUCUAUUUUCACUUAAAUAUGAUACAGCUGACCGUAGUACUGAAGGAGUAUUUCCAAAUCUUCCAUUCAGAUACAACUCUUCGUGUUAAAGACAAAUGGCCCUGGGAUACUCAGUUUCAUGAAACUACUUGUUGAAGAGCGUUAAAGGAUACCUCCUGCCUGCAGCCAGCCCGUGUAGCUGUUUAUCAUCUGCAAACAGUAGGGCCAAAAGGAAAAGCCUGCUGCAGAAACUUUUAUCUUGCCCUGCUACCCUGUCUUCCACCCUUUGCAAUCCCUCUAGGUUUGUGGAAAUGCUCUGUAAUCAGACAGCUAACCGAAGUAUCUCAAGAAAAAUUUGCACAAGCUUUGCUCCCCAUUUUCAAAGGUGAAGUCAUAGACCAAUCUAUCUGGGCAAGCUGGUGCUUCACUGGAAUGCAUGGCUUACAUGAACUUGAAGUGCAUGGAACUACAGGAUAUGUUCCACUUGAUAUUUUACAACUUCCUUUUUCAUUAGUUUGAUACUACUAUCCAAAAAAUUAUGUGGCAUUAUAACAGUUUAUCCUGUCUCAUGAGUCUCACAGGUCUCACAUACUUUUGUCAAAUCUCUUAAAUUUGCUUAUUCUUACUUGAUCUUGAUUGUCUUUAAAAAAGGACAUAAGCUCUUUAAUUUCGUGACUGGCAAUAAAACUUUGAAAACGUGAUCCAGUAACCAAGAAGCAAAACGAAAUAAAAAAGGAAAACACAACAGUAGUCUCAAACUGUAGACCACUUUCAUGAUUUUAACUCAUGAUUUUCAAAGUCCUUGUACUGUCCCUGCAUAGUAAUAGCAUAUCGUCGCUUGACGAAGGCAAAAGGGGCUACUCAGAAUACGCACUGGAAUGACAGCACUACAGUCUACUUUUCCUUUCUGUUUGUUUUUUUUUCUUGGUUGCCUGUGAAAGGUACUCUUCUUUUGGCAUAGGCUAUAUACCCCCAUGAUAAAAAUGUAUUGUAAGUUGUAAUGUGGUCUUUUCUAACUAUUAUGUAUGCAAAUAUAUUCAGAAUGUGCAAUGAAGAACUAACAUAUUCUUCUCUAUGAAACUAUUUAGAAUAGAAACUGGAAGAUUGGCUUAUUGUUUUUCCUAUUUUAAUUGACAAGCAUUUGAUUUGCAGUAGAUUUUCCAUGUCCUAGAGGGCUAAGGAAACGUCAGAUAUUUACAUACUUAUGCCUUUUAAAUUAAUUAUGGAGGAUGUUUUGGUAAAUAAUCACCAUCCCUGUAUCAGAAUGUCACUUUAAAGGUAAAUAACAGUCAAAAAUAAGUGGAUUAUUUUGCUUUUUUAUUGUCAUCUGCCUAUAUAAGAAUUUCAAUUAAUUUUUAGGAAUAUUUUCUAGGAUACUGAUAUCUCUAAACUAGUUUACUGCAGAAACUCAUACAAAAGACCACUGAUAAUAUGUAAGUCAGGGUUCAGUUCAAAACUUCAACGUUCCUUGAAUGCGUUCCAUAGUGUAAUCAUAAAAACAUAAAAACUUCUGUGUUAUAACUGAAUGUGCAUCUACUUAAAUCUAAAGGCUAAAAUUCACUAUAGCAAAAAGAAGCCUUAUUGAAGAUACAGCUCCUUGCUAUUUUACUAAAUGUAUGAGAUUUCAAAGUAAAAUGUCAUAGGGCCUGUCCAUAAAACAUGGAAUUACAAAAC